ACUCGCCGAGCUGGAGAGAGGUCACCGGGCACGCCCGGGACGAUCCGCCGAAGGGGCACGCGGCCCAUGCCGCUGAACUCUCAGGCAAAAGGACAGCGGGAGCGGC
rnacentral:ncRNA from 1 species